rnacentral:rRNA from 1 species
GACGAACGCUGGCGGCGUGCUUAACACAUGCAAGUCGAACGGAAAGGCCCUGCUUUUGUGGGGUGCUCGAGUGGCGAACGGGUGAGUAACACGUGAGUAACCUGCCCUUGACUUUGGGAUAACUUCAGGAAACUGGGGCUAACACCGGAUAGGAGCUCCUGCUGCAUGGUGGGGGUUGGAAAGUUUCGGCGGUUGGGGAUGGACUCGCGGCUUAUCAGCUUGUUGGUGGGGUAGUGGCUUACCAAGGCUUUGACGGGUAGCCGGCCUGAGAGGGUGACCGGCCACAUUGGGACUGAGAUACGGCCCAGACUCCUACGGGGGGCAGCAGUGGGGAAUAUUGCACAAUGGGCGGAAGCCUGAUGCAGCAACGCCGCGUGCGGGAUGACGGCCUUCGGGUUGUAAACCGCUUUCGCCUGUGACGAAGCGUGAGUGACGGUAAUGGGUAAAGAAGCACCGGCUAACUACGUG